rnacentral:ncRNA from 1 species
GGAGGGAUCAUUAAUGAAUGACCCUAUGGGCCUUCAACCUUAAAAACCGUGGAAUCGACCCGUGCUUCGACGCCCCCGUGGCGUCGCAUUAAUGCAGAAUAAUCUGUGUCUGAAUAUGAUCUAGAAUUAAAACUUUCAACAAAGGAUCCCUUGGCUCUUGCAUCGAUGAAGAACGUAGCGAAGCGCGAAAUGUAGUGUGAAUCGCAGAACCUUGUGAAUCAUCGAAUCUUUGAACGCACAUUGCGCCUCCUUCACGGGGGGCAUGCCUGUCUGAGUGUCAUUUAAACCAAAUGGGCCCAAUCUGGGUCCCGUGUUGGGCCUCGCUCUUUGAGGGCGUCGCCUCGAGACCAUUGGUCUAAUGUGCGGGCGAGUUCCUCUAGGACGGACCGCGCUGUGGACCGCGAGACUUUCUGAUUUUGACCUCAGAUCAGGUAGGGACACCGCCUGAACUUAAGCAUAUCAAUAAGGCGAGGAACAGAAACCAACAGGGAUUCCCUCAGUAGUGGCGAACGAAGUGGGAAAAGCUCAAGUUUGAAAUCUGGCGGGUGACCUCCAGAGUUGUAAGCUGAUGAGGCGUCGACCGACGCGGUUCGGGCUCAAUUUCCUUGGAACAGGAGGUCAUGGAGGGUGAGAACCCCGUCUAUGGCUCGAGUACCGUCGUCCUUGUGUCGUGCCCUCUAAGAGUCGGGUUGUUUGGGAAUGCAGCUCAAAAUGGGUGGUAAAUUUCAUCUAAAGCUAAAUACUGGCGAGAGACCGAUAGGAAACAAGUAGAGUGAUCGAAAGGUGAAAAGUACUUUGAAAAGAGAGUGAAACAGUACGUGAAAUUGUUGAAAGGGAAGCGCUUGGCAUCAGCCCUUGGCGUCGGUACAUCAACCCGGCUUCUGUCGGGUGCACUGUACCGUCGUCGGGCCAGCGUCGGCUUUGCCCGCCGGAGAAAGGCUCAGGGGAUGUGGCUCCCUUCGGGGAGCGUUAUACCCCUGGGCGUCAUGCGGUGAGGCGGGGCCGAGGUCUGCGGUUUAUACCAAGGACGCUGGCGUAAUGGUUCCAAGCGACCCGUCUUGAAACACGGACCAAGGAGUCUAACAUCUAUGCGAGUGUUUGGGUUUCAAGCCCAUCCGCGCAAUGAAAGUGAAUGCAGGCGGGAGCCUUUAGAGGGUGCACCGUCGACCGGUCCGGGGGUUUACCGAAGGAUCUGAGUAAGAGCAUAGCUGUUGGGACCCGAAAGAUGGUGAACUAUGCCUGAAUAGGGUGAAGCCAGAGGAAACUCUGGUGGAGGCUCGAAGCGGUUCUGACGUGCAAAUCGAUCGUCGAAUUUGGGUAUAGGGGCGAAAGACUAAUCGAACCAUCAACUUUGUAGUGUUGCUACUAGGUGGUUAAGAGGCAGCUCAAAGUGUCUGUCUAGUCCCUCUCUCGGGGCGAUACCGUCAAAUUGCGGGAAAGUCCUAAAGACUCUGCUACCAAACUCCCAUGGAAACAUGGGCGUGGCCGGGGUAAUGUCCUAGGGUAUGGUAACAACGCAGAGUAUGAACCUUCUUGGUGAAAUGGAUGAUCCGCAGCCAAGUCCUAAGGCUCAUUUGAGCUAUGGAUGCAGUUCACAGACUAAAUGGCGGUGGGUCCAUCAAUUGUAUGGGCUUAAGAUAUAGUCGGGCCUGCCCUGAAAGGGGCCCAUUGGGAUGAAGCGGUGUGGGCAGAGAGUCAUGGCAUUUGUCAUGAGCCUAUAUCGCUGGAGCCCUUUGGGGGUCACAUUGGAUGUGGCCUGGGGUUGUUGCUAGUAGCUGGUUCCUGC